CAGGGAAUUUGGCAGUACAUCCAACCGGCCUCACAACCACAGAACAGCCCAGGACCUCCAUUUCUUCUUUGCCAAGAUGAUCCAUCCCACCUCACUGAGAAUUUGGCAGUACAUCCAACCGGCCUCACAACCACAGACCAGCCCAGGACCUCCAUUUCUUCUUUGCCAAGAUAAAACAUCCCUCUUCACAGAGAAUUUGGCAGUACAUCCAACCGGCCUCACAACCACAGACCAGCCCAGGACCUCCAUUUCGUCUUUGCCAAGAUGAUCCAUCCCACCUCACAG